GGUAGCCCAGUGGCUAGACGUCCGCCUAGGAUGCGGGAGGUCGUGGGUUUGAACCCCGGCCAAGUCA